AGUGAACGCUGGCGGUAGGCCUAACACAUGCAAGUCGAACGGCAGCACAGUAAGAGCUUGCUCUUACGGGUGGCGAGUGGCGGACGGGUGAGGAAUACAUCGGAAUCUACUUUUUCGUGGGGGAUAACGUAGGGAAACUUACGCUAAUACCGCAUACGACCUACGGGUGAAAGCAGGGGAUCUUCGGAACUUGCGCGAUUGAAUGAGCCGAUGUCGGAUUAGCUAGUUGGCGGGGUAAAGGCCCACCAAGGCGACGAUCCGUAGCUGGUCUGAGAGGAUGAUCAGCCACACUGGAACUGAGACACGGUCCAGACUCCUACGGGAGGCAGCAGUGGGGAAUCUUGGACAAUGGGCGCAAGCCUGAUCCAGCCAUACCGCGUGGGUGAAGAAGGCCUUCGGGUUGUAAAGCCCUUUUGUUGGGAAAGAAAAGCAGCAGGUUAAUACCCCGCUGUUCUGACGGUACCCAAAGAAUAAGCACCGGCUAACUUCGUG
rnacentral:rRNA from 1 species